CCUACGGGUGGCUGCAGUGGGGAAUAUUGGACAAUGGGCGAAAGCCUGAUCCAGCCAUGCCGCGUGUGUGAAGAAGGCCUUCGGGUUGUAAAGCACUUUCAGUGGGGAAGAAAGCCUUGGGGCUAAUACCCUCGAGGAAGGACAUCACCCACAGAAGAAGCACCGGCUAACUCCGUGCCAGCAGCCGCGGUAAUACGGAGGGUGCGAGCGUUAAUCGGAAUUACUGGGCGUAAAGCGCGCGUAGGCGGUCUGAUAAGCCGGUUGUGAAAGCCCCGGGCUCAACCUGGGAACGGCAUCCGGAACUGUCAGGCUAGAGUGCAGGAGAGGAAGGUAGAAUUCCCGGUGUAGCGGUGAAAUGCGUAGAGAUCGGGAGGAAUACCAGUGGCGAAGGCGGCCUUCUGGACUGACACUGACGCUGAGGUGCGAAAGCGUGGGUAGCAAACAGGAUUAGAUACUCGUGUAGUC
rnacentral:rRNA from 1 species